rnacentral:rRNA from 1 species
AUUGAACGCUGGCGGCAGGCCUAACACAUGCAAGUCGAACGGUAGCACAGAGAGCUUGCUCUCGGGUGACGAGUGGCGGACGGGUGAGUAAUGUCUGGGAAACUGCCUGAUGGAGGGGGAUAACUACUGGAAACGGUAGCUAAUACCGCAUAACGUCGCAAGACCAAAGAGGGGGACCUUCGGGCCUCUUGCCAUCAGAUGUGCCCAGAUGGGAUUAGCUAGUAGGUGGGGUAACGGCUCACCUAGGCGACGAUCCCUAGCUGGUCUGAGAGGAUGACCAGCCACACUGGAACUGAGACACGGUCCAGACUCCUACGGGAGGCGGCAGUGGGGAAUAUUGCACAAUGGGCGCAAGCCUGAUGCAGCCAUGCCGCGUGUAUGAAGAAGGCCUUCGGGUUGUAAAGUACUUUCAGCGGGGAGGAAGGUGUUGUGGUUAAUAACCGCAGCAAUUGACGUUACCCGCAGAAGAAGCAC